rnacentral:rRNA from 1 species
AACGCUGGCGGUCUGCUUAACACAUGCAAGUCGAACGGAGUACUUCGGUACUUAGUGGCGGACGGGUGAGUAACGCGUGAGGAUCUGCCCUCAGGAGGGGGACAACGACUGGAAACGGUCGCUAAUACCCCAUAUGCCGAGAGGUGAAAUGUUUUUUCGCCUGAGGAUGAGCUCGCGUCAGAUUAGCUAGUUGGUGGGGUAACGGCCUACCAAGGCGACGAUCUGUAGCUGGUCUGAGAGGAUGAUCAGCCACACUGGGACUGAGACACGGCCCAGACUCCUACGGGAGGCAGCAGUGGGGAAUUUUCCGCAAUGGGCGAAAGCCUGACGGAGCAAGACCGCGUGAGGGAUGACGGCCUAAUGGUUGUAAACCUCUUUUCUCUGGGAAGAUAAUGACGGUACCAGAGGAAUAAGCCUCGGCUAACUCCGUGCCAGCAGCCGCGGUAAUACGGAGGAGGCAAGCGUUAUCCGGAAUUAUUGGGCGUAAAGCGUCCGUAGGUGGUUAAUCAAGUCAGCUGUUAAAGAGCGGAGCUUAACUCCGUUAGAGCGGUUGAAACUGAUUGACUAGAGUUUGGUAGGGGUCGAGGGAAUUCCCAGUGUAGCGGUGAAAUGCGUAGAUAUUGGGAAGAACACCGGUGGCGAAAGCGCUCGACUGGGCCUGAACUGACACUGAGGGACGAAAGCUAGGGGAGCGAAAGGGAUUAGAUACCCCUGUAGUCCUAGCCG